UACGUAGGGUGCGAGCGUUGUCCGGAAUUAUUGGGCGUAAAGAGCUCGUAGGCGGCUUGUCGCGUCGGAUGUGAAAGCCCGGGGCUUAACUCCGGGUCUGCAUUCGAUACGGGCAGGCUAGAGUUCGGUAGGGGAGAUCGGAAUUCCUGGUGUAGCGGUGAAAUGCGCAGAUAUCAGGAGGAACACCGGUGGCGAAGGCGGAUCUCUGGGCCGAUACUGACGCUGAGGCGCGAGAGCGUGGGGAGCAAACAGG
rnacentral:rRNA from 1 species